CCCUGCAUGUAGGCCCUCCAACCUGCAGGGAAAACCUGGGGGUUGGCGGCAGAAUUGGCACUACAGCCACCAUAAGAAACCUCUUUUUGGUUCCAUUCCACCUGAACUAGUGUGGUGCUGAGGUAUCACCGGUUGCAUGGCUGCACUCGGGUCCUGAUCUGGAUCCUGAGUUGGUUUGUCAUGUGGUGGGUGCGGCAAUGCACUGUAUAAUUGCGUACUCCUAACCUAUGCAUUGAAACAAGGAAUUUAGCUCCAGUUAUUUGAUGGCGCUCCAAGAAUAGCUACAGUACAUGACAGACAUACUCACAAUUGAUAAGUUUGCAUCUAAAAUAAAUAACAAGACAUACAGUGUAAACAUAUGUAUACAAAGUGCAGUACAGGCAAUCCUAAAGUAUGUACUGUAAAGGAUGGGAAGCAUGAGCUGAUGACUCAGCUGGGAUAGUUCGAGGACCCUUGUCCAGCCAAGAAGCCAAAGCAAUACUUGGACAGGAAUGUAGGCAGGAUAUUCCCUUUCUCAACCAAGAGAUGAGCAGAAGGUGCCACUAACACAGUGGAGAUGCUGACAUCCCAGAAUGGCUCAGUUGAGGGCUCCAGGAGGCCAUUAUACCGGAAGGACAGGGAGAGAUAAAAUGUGUGAACUAUUUGCUGCCCCAAGUUACGCGAUGACAGCAUCUAAGGUCUACGUUACCAGUAUGGACACCCACAUGGUAUGCUGGGAUCUGUAGUUCAGCAGGGUGGCCCCAUUGGGUACUGCUUGUGCCACCAGGGGGUGCUACAGAUAUGUGAACCUUACUUUGUAGGACUUCUUAAUAACUUCCAAUGGACCAUGUCCUAACACUGGAGGUACUCCCAGGUACUAAAUAAAAGGAAUGCGUCAGAUUCAGGCAGCAGAGGAUAACAGUUGUUUGGAGAAAGAGGAGUGGGACAGAGACGGAGGAAGACUUUUAUUUAUACUGUUGUGCUGUGCUGUGUGGGAUGAUUCUGGAAGGGCCUGUAAAGUUACUGGAAAGAAUAAAAAUUAUUGCCUUUGAAACUAUGACUGUUAUUGUGCCAGUUGUGUCGAGGGCUGAAGUGCUGCAAUGCCCCCUAGAGGUCACAAAACACAUUAGCUGUAUGUAAGAAUAUUGUGAAAUAUUAGGAGUGCGCCUAUACUGAAUAAGGACAGCUAUAUUGAGAGCUUAAUGGCCUGUGGAAAGAAACUUCUUAUAUCUGCUUGUUUUGGUGUAGUUUAUAAUGCCUGGCAGAGGUUGUGGCCUGGAUGUGAUUGGUCGGUGAUCAUUUUCCCUGCCCACUUUGAGACUUACAGGUCCUGUAAGGUGAGAAGACUGGUGCCAGUGAUCUAUUCAGCAGAUCUGCCUAUUCAUUGUAGCCUGUUCUUGUCUUCUUUGGUUGCUGAUUCACUGAACUCCCUCAGCUUUGGCAGGAAGUACAUCUGCCACUAUGCCUUUUUUAUCAUGGAGACUAUAUUGGACUUUCAUAUCAAGCACUUGAAAAGACUUGAACUCUCAGAACUACGGAGGAAGAAAACAUCAAGACAGUCCCAGGGUGGUGUCAUAUACCUGAGAAGAGCUUGGAUGGUGUAUCCUUAGGCGUGCAUUCAUGACAUCUGGAAGAUUGAGAGCUGUAACAAAUCUGACGCCACUUCCGGUGUCAGUCCGCCUGGACCUGCCAGUGGACUUAAGACCAAAAGGUCCGCCACCUUGAGACAGUAGAAUUGGGAAGUCAUGUCUGGAACAACGUCUCCACAAUUAUUGAAAGUUUGGAACAGUCAUCCUUAAGGGUUUACAGCACCGUAGAAUCCAUUUGGACAAGCAUAUUUCGCAGACGAGGGUCUAGAUGAAAAUAAAUGGUAAAAAAGCAGUCAAAAUUGUGUCACAAAAAGCAGACACAAGAGUCAUUAAAAGGUUUGGGGUAUCCACCCGUAUAUUCUCUGCCAAAUGGGUAAAUUGCUAGCACUGAUGUGCUCAGAACGGAGUCCUAAACAGAACUGAUUAGGUUAGUCAAAUAUGGUA